rnacentral:rRNA from 1 species
AUUGAACGCUGGCGGCAGGCCUAACACAUGCAAGUCGAGCGAGCGGCGGACGGUUGAGUAAUGUCUGGGAAACUGUCUGUUGGCGACGGAUAACUACUGGAAACGGUAGCUAAUACCGCAUUCCAUCAGAUGUGCGCAGUGGGGAUUAGUGAGUGGGUGGGGUAACGGCUCACCUAGGCGACGAUCCCUAGCUGGUCUGCGAGGUUGACCAGCAACACUGGAACUGAGACACGGUCCAGACUCCUACGGGAGGCAGCAGUGGGGAAUAUUGGGCAAUGGGCGAAAGCCUGAUGCAGCCAUGCCGCGUGUGUGAAGAAGGCCUUCGGAUUGUAAAGCACUUUCAGCGGGGAAGCGUUACCCGCAGAAGAAGCACCGGCUAACUCCGUGCCAGCAGCCGCGGUAAUAC